GACGAACGCUGGCGGCGCGCUUAACACAUGCAAGUCGAACGGAAAGGCCUGCUUUCCCUUGUGGAUUGCGGGUACUCGAGUGGCGAACGGGUGAGUAACACGUGAGUGAUCUGCCCCCAACUUGGGUAUAAGCCUGGGAAACUGGGUCUAAUUCCCGAUAGGACUGCAGGGUGGUGCCUGUGGUGGAAAACGAUUUUCUAGUGGUUGGGGAUGAGCUCGCGGCCUAUCAGCUUGUUGGUGGGGUAAUGGCCUACCAAGGCGGCGACGGGUAGCCGGCCUGAGAGGGUGGACGGCCACAUUGGGACUGAGAUACGGCCCAGACUCCUACGGGAGGCAGCAGUGGGGAAUAUUGCACAAGGGGCGGAAGCCUGAUGCAGCGACGCCGCGUGGGGGAUGACGGCCUUCGGGUUGUAAACUCCUUUCGACCGCGAGGAAGCCACCUGGUUGGAGGGGUGGUGACGGUAGUGGUAGAAGAAGCACCGGCUAACUACGUG
rnacentral:rRNA from 1 species